UUUCUUCCUUCUCAGUUCUCUGUGCCGACUGCGGGACUUUCUUCUCUGUUCGAAGAAAGCCUAGCAAAAAAAUUCACUUUACCAGCCGGCAGCCGACUCUGACUGAUUUAGAUCUACACCCUCACUCCGUUCGUCACCGACGCCGUUGCUCGCCGCAUCUGUGAGACUCCAUCGCCAUCGCCAUCGCCAUCGCCAUCGCCAUCGCCUUAACAAGUCCCAAGUCCCAAAUCGAAGCUGCUCUCUGACUCUCCGGCCUCCGCCAGUCCGCCGCGCUCUACGUCUCCUGUCGGCUGUGUCCUGCCGUGCUGGUUCAUCGCUGCCGAGUGUCGAAGACGAAGCACCAAGAUCUCACUAGUUCAUCGCUGGUUCAUCACUGCUCAUCUCUGGCUCACUUAGAGGAUUAGCAAUUUUCUCCUGCACAAAUGGCAAAAGGAUCCUCAAACCUCCCUCUCUCCCCCUUUUCCUACGGCAGGUUUGGGGCCUUGUGAACUAUCAUGCUGGUUUGGGGCCUUGUGAACUAUCAUGCUCCCAUUUAUCUGACGGAAAGGGUCAGCUCCGGGUUUACUGGAGCACAUGUAAUGAUGAAGUACACUGCGUCCAGCCUCCCUUAGCCGGUAAGUAUUUAACUUUUUUUGUUUUUUUACACACAGAUUUCUCAGUCUGACUUUCAUCGUCUCCUGUGGAUGAAAGUCUGAUUUUUUGUUUUUUCACAUAGAGAUUUCAUCCUCUCAGUCUGACUCUCCUGUGGAAUUAAUUCUAGCAAUUUAGUUCUGUCACAAAACUUGUGUAUACAGAAACUUUUUUCUAACAAAUCUUCAAGAAAAAAUGUAUACUCUGCCUGUUUUGCAGUUUGUUUGCAGAGCCCUUGCCCGAACAAGUGCAUUUACGUAUUGGAGUUUUUUUUACCUACGAAAGAAGAAGAUGAUGAUGAUGAUGAUGACGAUCCUAGGACAUUGUUGCCCAUGCUAAUGAAAACAUUGAAACGACACCUCCAAAGUUCUUUUAAGAUUGCUUCUGGACAGGAAUUAGGGCAGAAAUUGACCGUUGAGGUUGUAAAGAUCUCUUCAAAGGAUGAAUAUGAUUCUUGUGAAAUCUGCAAUACUACCGGUAUCGAAUCUACACCUAGGCUUGUAGGAGUACAAGGAGGAGGAAAGAUGCAGCUUGAUUUCUCAUCUCAGCAAGUUCAUGCUGCAAAUGGUUCUAUAAAUGGUAUUCAUGAAUAGCAGAAUAGUAGUGUUGGAUUGCAUAAGUACGAGGAGGAGAAGGAAUGAUGCAAGUUGAUUUCUCAACUCAGCAAGUUGAUGCUGCAAAUGGACAGCAGAAUGGAGUUGUUGGAUCUCCACCUAGAACAGAGCAUGCGCAGGGCUUUGCCAACAUAUCAUAUCAAGAACUAAUGGCUGUAAAUUUCGAUGCAUCAAAUGUUGCAGGAGUUGAUGCUGCAACGAAUUCUAUGAACGGUAUUUAUGAACAGCAAAAUGGGAUUGUUUUAGAUCUUCAUCUGGACAAGAGCUCUUGCAGAACAUAGUCCACGUAGCGCAUCAUGAACCAAUAUUGGAAUUCGAUGUGGCAAAUCCUAGCAAAGAUGGUGCUAAUAGAAAACAGAGUAACAAUGAAGAGACUAAUUCAAGAAAGCAAAAGUCAAGUUGUCCUUUAAGAAGCGAACGCGGAAUUACUCGUGAGCUCCUUGAACAAAUUUCUACAAUGAAUGUUGUGGAAGCUGCAAAAUUUCUUGAUGUUACCCGAUCUACAUUGAAACGUAAAUGUCGGGAGUAUGGUAUUUGUAGAUGACCACCUCGUAAAGCAAGAAAGGUUAAUCCAACCUUUGCUGCACAGAAAGUUAUUCAGCCUACCACUGAAAACAUUGAAGAACACCACAAGGCUAGAAGAUGGUAGUAGCAUGGGGGUGAAGGCCGACUAUCAACAGUGCAAGAUAAAGUUUAGACUUCCACUUUCUGCCCGUAAAGUCAACUUGGAGGAGAAGGUGUAGCACAGAGAUUGUAUCUAUCCAUUGGAAGUUUUACAAUUGAGUAUGAGGAUGAAGACAAUGAGUGGAUUUGGAUAACCUGUGAUGAAGAUCUAAGUACCUCUAUGAGCACAUUAAACUCAUUAGGUAGGACAACAAUCAAAAUGUUGGUCAGUUAGGUGCAUAUUUAUGAAAAAUUGUAUAACUAAUCAAAAUGUUUUCAUUCAAUACUUUUUCCAUGAAGAAAUAUGCUCUGCCGCAAAGCAUUCCUACAAACAA